rnacentral:rRNA from 1 species
UACGUAGGGGCCUAGCGUUGUCCGGAUUUAUUGGGCGUAAAGAGCUCGUAGGCGGUUCGGCAAGUCGGAUGUGAAAUCUCCACGCUUAACGUGGAGGGGCCAUUCGAAACUGCCGUGACUCGAGUCCGGUAGGGGAGUGUGGAAUUCCCGGUGUAGCGGUGAAAUGCGCAGAUAUCGGGAAGAACACCCGUGGCGAAGGCGGCUCUCUGGGACGGUACUGACGCUGAGACGCGAAAGCGUGGGGGAGCGAAC